AGAGUUUGAUCCUGGCUCAGGAUGAACGCUGGCGGCGCGCCUAACACAUGCAAGUCGAACGGCACCCCUCUCCGGAGGGAAGCGAGUGGCGAACGGCUGAGUAACACGUGGAGAACCUGCCCCCUCCCCCGGGAUAGCCGCCCGAAAGGACGGGUAAUACCGGAUACCCCCGGGCGCCGCAUGGCGCCCGGGCUAAAGCCCCGACGGGAGGGGAUGGCUCCGCGGCCCAUCAGGUAGACGGCGGGGUGACGGCCCACCGUGCCGACAACGGGUAGCCGGGUUGAGAGACCGACCGGCCAGAUUGGGACUGAGACACGGCCCAGACUCCUACGGGAGGCAGCAGUGGGGAAUCUUGCGCAAUGGGGGGAACCCUGACGCAGCGACGCCGCGUGCGGGACGGAGGCCUUCGGGUCGUAAACCGCUUUCAGCAGGGAAGAGUCAAGACUGUACCUGCAGAAGAAGCCCCGGCUAACUACGUGCCAGCAGCCGCGGUAAUACGUAGGGGGCGAGCGUUAUCCGGAUUCAUUGGGCGUAAAGCGCGCGUAGGCGGCCCGGCAGGCCGGGGGUCGAAGCGGGGGGCUCAACCCCCCGAAGCCCCCGGAACCUCCGCGGCUUGGGUCCGGUAGGGGAGGGUGGAACACCCGGUGUAGCGGUGGAAUGCGCAGAUAUCGGGUGGAACACCGGUGGCGAAGGCGGCUACCUAGACAGAGACUGACGCUGAGGCACGAAAGCGUGGGGAGCAAAUAGGAUUAGAUACCCUAGUAGUCCACGCUGUAAACGAUGAAUGCUAAGUAUUGGGGCAACUCAGUGCUGCAGUUAACGCAAUAAGCAUUCCGCCUGUGGAGUAUGCACGCAAGUGUGAAACAUAAAGGAAUUGACGGGGGCCCGCACAAGCGGUGGAGCAUGUGGUUUAAUUCGAAGCAACGCGAAGAACCUUACCAGGUCUUGACAUCCCAGUGACCGCUCUAGAGAUAGAGUUUUUCUUCGGAACACUGGUGACAGGUGGUGCAUGGUUGUCGUCAGCUCGUGUCGUGAGAUGUUGGGUUAAGUCCCACAACGAGCGCAACCCUUAUUGUUAGUUGCCAUCAUUCAGUUGGGCACUCUAGCGAGACUGCCGGUAAUAAACCGGAGGAAGGUGGGGAUGACGUCAAAUCAUCAUGCCCCUUAUGACCUGGGCUACACACGUGCUACAAUGGUUGGUACAACGAGUCGCAAGUCGGUGACGGCAAGCUAAUCUCUUAAAGCCAAUCUCAGUUCGGAUUGUAGGCUGCAACUCGCCUACAUGAAGUCGGAAUCGCUAGUAAUCGCGGAUCAGCACGCCGCGGUGAAUACGUUCCCGGGCCUUGCACACACCGCCCGUCA
rnacentral:rRNA from 1 species